rnacentral:rRNA from 1 species
UAGGGAAUCUUCGGCAAUGGGGGGAACCCUGACCGAGCAACGCCGCGUGAGUGAAGAAGGUUUUCGGAUCGUAAAGCUCUGUUGUUAAGGAAGAACGAGUGUGAGAAUGGAAAGUUCAUGCUGUGACGGUACUUAACCAGAAAGGGACGGCUAACUACGUGCCAGCAGCCGCGGUAAUACGUAGGUCCCGAGCGUUGUCCGGAUUUAUUGGGCGUAAAGCGAGCGCAGGCGGUUAGAAAAGUCUGAAGUGAAAGGCAGUGGCUCAACCAUUGUAGGCUUUGGAAACUGUUUAACUUGAGUGAAGAAGGGGAGAGUGGAGUUCCAUGUGUAGCGGUGAAAUGCGUAGAUAUAUGGAGGAACACCGGUGGCGAAAGCGGCUCUCUGGUCUGUAACUGACGCUGAGGCUCGAAAGCGUGGGGAGCGAACAGG